UACGAGGGGGGCGAGCGUUGUUCGGAAUUAUUGGGCGUAAAGGGUGCGUAGGCGGUUUUGUAAGUCUUAUGUGAAAUCUAUGGGCUCAACUCAUAGACUGCAUGAGAAACUGCAGGGCUUGAGUAUGGGAGAGGUGAGUGGAAUUCCUGGUGUAGCGGUGAAAAUGCGUAGAUAUCAGGAGGAACACCUGUGGCGAAAAGCGGCUCACUGGACCAUAACUGACGCUGAUGCACGAAAAGCUAGGGGGAGCAAAACAGG
rnacentral:rRNA from 1 species